ensembl:miRNA
GCUCUGUGACCUUGGGUGAGUUAAUUAACCUCUCUGUGUCUCUGUAGUCUCAUCUAUAAAGCAGAGGUGAUACUCAGGUUGUUGGGUGGACUCAGUUGACAGGUAUGAAAUGAGAGGACGGCCUCAGCAAGUGUCUG